UAGGGAAUCUUCGGCAAUGGGGGGAACCCUGACCGAGCAACGCCGCGUGAGUGAAGAAGGUUUUCGGAUCGUAAAGCUCUGUUGUUAAGGAAGAACGUGUGUGAGAGUGGAAAGCUCACACAGUGACGGUACUUAACCAGAAAGGGACGGCUAACUACGUGCCAGCAGCCGCGGUAAUACGUAGGUCCCGAGCGUUGUCCGGAUUUAUUGGGCGUAAAGCGAGCGCAGGCGGUUAGAUAAGUCUGAAGUGAAAGGCAGUGGCUCAACCAUUGUAGGCUUUGGAAACUGUUUAACUUGAGUGCAGAAGGGGAGAGUGGAAUUCCAUGUGUAGCGGUGAAAUGCGUAGAUAUAUGGAGGAACACCGGUGGCGAAAGCGGCUCUCUGGUCUGUAACUGACGCUGAGGCUCGAAAGCGUGGGGAGCGAACAGGAUUAGAUACCCUGGUAGUCCACGCCGUAAACGAUGAGUGCUAGGUGUUAGGUCCUUUCCGGGACUUAGUGCCGCAGCUAACGCAUUAAGCACUCCGCCUGGGGAGUACGACCGCAAGGUUG
rnacentral:rRNA from 1 species